UACGGAAGGCAGCAGUGGGGAAUAUUGCACAAUGGGCGCAAGCCUGAUGCAGCCAUGCCGCGUGUAUGAAGAAGGCCUUCGGGUUGUAAAGUACUUUCAGUCGUGAGGAAGGUGUUAAGGUUAAUAACCUUAGCAAUUGACGUUAGCGACAGAGGAAGCACCGGCUAACUCCGUGCCAGCAGCCGCGGUAAUACGGAGGGUGCGAGCGUUAAUCGGAAUUACUGGGCGUAAAGGGCACGCAGGCGGUUAAUUAAGUUGGAUGUGAAAUCCCCGGGCUUAACCUGGGAAUGGCAUUCAAGCUGGUUAGCUAGAGUCUUGUAGAGGGGGUAGAAUUCCAUGUGUAGCGGUGAAAUGCGUAGAGAUGUGGAGGAAUACCGGUGGCGAAGGCGGCCCCUGGACAAAGACUGACGCUCAUGUGCGAAAGCGUGGGGAGCAAACAGGGAUUAGAUACC
rnacentral:rRNA from 1 species